GGGGGCGGGGCUCUGGCCGGCGGAGGCGCAGCCGCCAGCGGUCGGAGGAGCCUAAGCCGAGAGAGACCUAGACGGCGGCGGGCACGAGGGCGGGCGUUCCCGGAGUAGUCGCGCGGGAGUCGGCCACUGCCCCCGGCCUCCUUACUUUCAGGGCCCCUCCCUGUCCGCCGGGACGCGGGAGAGCCCGGCGCGCGGUGGGGGCGCGAGGUGGAGCCGGCGGGGGCGGCCAAUGCGAAACUGGCUGGUGCUGCUGUGCCCGUGUGUGCUCGGGGCCGCGCUGCACCUCUGGCUGCGGCUGCGCUCCCCGCCGCCCGCCCGCGCCUCGGGGGCCGGCCCCGCAGAUCAAUCGGCCUUAUUUCCUCCAUGGAAAUCUAGUCACUAUGAUGUGGUAGUUGGCGUGCUGUCAGCUCGCAAUAACCAUGAACUUCGCAAUGUGAUAAGGGGCACCUGGCUGAAGCAUUUAUUACAACAUCCAGCAUUAAGUCAACGUGUGCUUGUGAAGUUCAUAAUAGGUGCCCAUGGCUGUGAGGUGCCUGUGGAAGACAGGGAAGACCCUUAUUCCUGCAAACUGCUCAACAUCACGAAUCCAGUUUUGAGUCAGGAGAUUGAGGCAUUCAGUCUGUCUGAAGAUACCUCACCUGGGCUCUCUGAGGACCGAGUUGUCAGCGUGAGCUUCCGAGUGCUCUAUCCAAUCGUUAUCACCAGUCUCGGGGUGUUUUAUGAUGCCAGCGAUGUGGGUUUCCAGAGGAACAUCACCGUCAAGCUUUACCAGGCAGAACAGGAGGAGGCCCUCUUCGUUGCUCGCUUUAGUCCUCCGAGCUGUGGUGUUCAGGUGAACAAGCUAUGGUACAAGCCUGUGGAGCAGUUCAUCUUACCAGAGAGCUUUGAAGGUACAAUCGUGUGGGAGAGUCAAGACCUCCAAGGCCUCGUGUCACGAAAUCUCCACAAAGUGACAGUCAACGAUGGAGGAGGGGUUCUCAGGGUCAUUACAGCUGGGGAGGGUGCGUUGCCUCAUGAAUUCAUGGAAGGCGUGGAGGGAGUUGCUGGUGGUUUUAUUUACACCAUUCAGGAAGGUGAUGCUCUCUUAAAAAACCUUCAUUCUCGCCCUCGAAGACUUAAUGAUCACAUAAGCAGUCUCCAGGAGGAAGAUGCCUUACUGAAGGAGGAGAGCAGCCUCUACGACGACAUUGUGUUCGUGGACGUUGUCGACACUUACCGAAAUGUUCCUGCAAAGUUACUGAACUUCUAUAAAUGGACUGUGGAGACAACCAGCUUUGAUCUGUUGCUAAAGACAGAUGACGACUGUUACAUAGACUUGGAAGCUGUUUUUAAUAGAAUUGCCCUCAAGAAGCUGGACGGGCCUAAUUUUUGGUGGGGAAAUUUCAGGUUGAAUUGGGCCGUUGACCGGACGGGGAAGUGGCAGGAGCUGGAGUACCCUGGGCCAGCCUACCCCGCCUUUGCCUGUGGGUCAGGGUACAUGAUCUCCAGCGACAUCGUCCGCUGGCUGGCCAGUAACUCGGGCAGACUGAAGACAUACCAGAUGAAAUGGCCUUUAAUGUUUGCAUUUAAACUUCACGGGGCUUGUACAGGGUGAAGAUGUGAGCAUGGGCAUCUGGAUGGCAGCCAUAGGACCGAAGCGAUACCAGGACGGGCUGUGGCUGUGUGAGAAGACCUGUGAGACAGGGAUGCUGUCCUCGCCUCAGUACUCGCCCCAGGAGCUGAAACAGCUGUGGAAGCUGAAGGAGCUGUGCGGGGACCCUUGUCAGUGUGACGCAAGAUGACGCUGUGCAUCCUCGGUGUUAAAGGUCAGGGUGGCCCGGAGCCUGUCUGAGGAAAGCCCAAUGUUUGGCCUCAGACUGUAUUGCCUUUCAGGACAGUUCUUGGCUGGCACUUUGACCUGUCACUCAGUGUGGUGUUUCUUAAUGUUUGCACAAAAUUUCCUUUUUAAAAAAUCAACAGAUCCUGUGGCAUAAGAAAAAUUUUACCUAUAUAUUGGAAGAGGACUUGACAAGUACCAAAUUGCUUAUAAAACAAAAAAUAUUUCUAAAUCCUGGUGCGUUAUUUCUAGUUAGUAAUUUAUUACCUAUCAAUCAUUUUUGGUUAAAACUUGGCCUCAUUCAGAAAUCUUUAGUAACUGAAAGUUUGAAUUUCAAUCUGGAUCGGAGAAUAGCUCUGUAUAGCAUGAUUAGGAUAAUUAAGGGCCAAAAAAGAACUCACAAGAUGCUGUAUGGUCACUCGUGAGCAGUGGUCACUUAUACCAAAGUGGGGGGUUUCUGGGGGUCAUGUCGGACUUUGUGGAUCUCUGAAUGAAGUGGGCAACUUGAACUUGAAAAGGAACCAGUGUGAUUCUCAGUUCUGGACUUUGGUUUUAAAGUUCAUUUAUUAAGUGGACUAAUUCCACUCAAGUUUGUGUUUUGCCAUUUAACAUCCAUCCUGAAGAUCACAGGGUAGUACUCCUAUUUUUUAAAAAUGUUAAAUUCCUCUCAGGGUUUUAGUACCAUAGGGAAGGAGGUUUCUAAAUAGUUGGCGCUGAAAUAAGUUUGCUUUCUUCCUUCCAUUGCCUGAUGUAAUUUCAAUCAGAGCUGGGGAUCCUCUGUAGAAUAUGUGCUCAGCUUAGGGUAACUGUAGGGAAAAGCAUGUCAUUUUUGUAGGUACUCUAACAAUGCCUCUGAGAGGAGAGAUCACAGCAUUUAUGUUACAUGGAGGAUGUGUUUCCUUGAGUUUAAAGGACGUUUCCAAAAUGACCGUCUCCAUUAAUUUUAGUAACUUUUUCCACCAGUAGCAUCAAUAGAGGAUUCCAUUAAAAUUGGUCUUGGAGUUCCCAUUGUGGCUCAGUGGUAACGAUACCAGCUAGUAUCCAUGGAGGAUGUGGGUUCAAGCUCUGGCCUCGCUUCGUGGGUUAAGGACCCAGCAUUGCUGUGGUGUAGAUUGCAGACAUGGCCCAGAUCUGGUAUUGCCAUGGCUAUGGUGUAGGCCACCAGCUACAGCUCUGAUUUGACCCCUACAUGGGAACGAACUUCCAUAUGCUGCAGGUGCGGCCCUAGAAAGACAAAAACAAAAAACUGGUCUUUGUGACAGACAUUAACUGUGUUCAGGUUUAUUAGACUAGUGAGGUUCUAUUUAGCAUUUAAACUUCACAUAACGAAAUAGUUAUAAACUAAAAUACUAUAUGAAAUAAAAUCAAAAAAUCAUUAGUAGAUGCAAAGCUUUUAUUAUUGCUAUUAUAUAUACAAGCCUUGGUCUUUGCCCUAUGAAAAAUAACAGCUGUUUUCUAUUUAGGAUAAGUGGUGAAACCUUUUUUUUGGACAUAACUGUCCCAAGAAGUCAUUUACGUCCAGUCAUGAUAAAUGAAUUUUCUAAUCUCUGGAUUUUCUUAGUUGGCUGCUACCAUCGCACUAAUAGACAGUCUCCAUUUUCUAUAGAAUAAAACUGUAAUGACUGCUGAUCAUUUUCUAGUUCAAUCUCUCUGCCCGGCAUCUAAAAUUAGAACAAAGGGGUGGGAGUGAUGAAAACAUCUGACAAACACAUAUGCCCACUCCUCCCUGCCAAACAAAGACGUGUGGUCUCUGUUGAGAAUCGAGCGUGUUACAUAGACUUAGCUCCAUGGGGAACUCAGGUCAACUUUGUGUUUUGCUGGUCAACUUACUUUGGGACUUUCAUAGGACAAGAGAAGUUCUGACACAGACACUUUGAGGAGACGCGACAGGAAGCCUUUCACCUUUUGAACUGUCAUGGAUUCUAUCCAGGAAAAGAAAAAACCAUUAGUUCUCUCAAAUGACAGUUACCUGGUUACCUGGCUCAUGUCACAAGACCACAGUUGCACCACAGCCGUCACUGUUGUUUCACAGCAGCAGUUCUCCCAAGUGAAUGGUGCCUCCCCGCCCCCGAAGGGGGGGCGUUUGGGAGGUGACGGGAAAGGGAGCCCUUGUCUGACCUAAGUGCCCUUUGACAAUGAGUUUUCACACCAUUUCAGAGGUGUUACUGUGUCCUCCUAACCUGAAUAAACCAGAAAUCAUGUUCUCAGCACAGAGAAUAAGCGUCAGUGAAGUCAUUAACUUUUUAGACCUUUUGAUUACUUACCUAUGAAAUACUGAAAGGACGCUGGUGAGGGGCUCAGGCACCGUGAGGAUGUGGCUCACUCUCUCCAGCCUUAGUUCCUCCUCUGAAAAGUGAGGGGCAGAAGAACGGGCUCCGAGCCCCCUUCCAGCGCUCCCAGUCUGUCAUCAGUGUGUGACUAUGUGCGACACACACACACAGGGACUGUCAGGCACGGGAGUAUAACUUAGUGAGUAAUGCUUUGAUUUGUUCAGAAAACACUAUGAACUUCUUUCCAAAGAUGGGUUGUGGUAAAUGCUGGAUUAUUUUGAUUAUAAGAAAUUUAGUUUCUUUGAAGCUUUAGCUGGAAGUACAGCAAUAGUGUGGUGUUCCUACAAAAAUCACAUGUAUUCAAACAACUAUUUUUCUAUCAAAAAUCAUUUUUGUAAAAGCUGUCUGUGUUUUUAUGCAAUUGUGAUAAUAAAUGUUAUCUUUAUUUUAGAAUGAAAAAUGACCCUUUUCUUAUGCAUUGAAUAUAGACACUAAAUAGACAUUUAUCAUUUCAGUUAACAUAAUUUGCCCUUUUGUCCUUUCAAAAGAUUUAGGUGGUCUGGCUUUCACUGUUCAGACGGUGGUUAGUGAUGGGUUAACUCUGACUGCUGAGUUUACAGAAUAUAGGACUCAGAUCCUGAAUAGCUUAAAGCAUAAUUAUUACAUAGUUCCUCUGGUUUUUCUGAAUCUCUGCUAGUUCUACCUGAAGAUUAAUAACACUCAGAGCGUGAACAGGGAAGAAGGGGACUCAGCCAGAUGUGCACUGUGGGGGGGGAGAGGAGCCCAAGCCUUUGCUCACACACCCACUAGUCCCUUCCCAGAGCAAGCCUUGAAAAGGAAGCCUAACACCCAUCUAGUGGGGACAUUGUGGAGCUCGUACCUGGAAGGGAGAAGGGAAAUGCAAACGCAUCCAAAGCCAAUCAUAGUAACAGAAAGUUCUGGUCCUCCUUCCCUUGUCCACCCCCAUGAACACCCUCACUGCCCUUGCUAACAGGAUUUAAGUUUGCAAACAGAAUAAUGAAGGGGAAGCCACUAAUUUCUUUUUUCUUUUUUUUUUUUUUUUUAAUCUUUUUGCCAUUUCUUGGGCCGCUCCCGCGGCAUAUGGAGGUUCCCAGGCUAGGGGUCGAAUUGGAGCUGUAGCCGCUGGCCUACGCCAGAGCCACAGCAAAGCGGGAUCCAAG